UUGACCUCGGAUCAGGUAGGAAUACCCGCUGAACUUAAGCAUAUCAAUAAGCGGAGGAAAAGAAACCAACAGGGAUUGCCUCAGUAACGGCGAGUGAAGCGGCAACAGCUCAAAUUUGAAAUCUGGCCCCCAGGCCCGAGUUGUAAUUUGUAGAGGAUGCUUCUGGCGACGCGACUUCCGAGUUCCCUGGAACGGGACGCCAAAGAGGGUGAGAGCCCCGUCCGGUCGUUCGCCUAGCCUCUGUGAAGCUCCUUCGACGAGUCGAGUAGUUUGGGAAUGCUGCUCUAAAUGGGAGGUAUACGUCUUCUAAAGCUAAAUACCGGCCAGAGACCGAUAGCGCACAAGUAGAGUGAUCGAAAGAUGAAAAGCACUUUGAAAAGAGGGUUAAAUAGUACGUGAAAUUGCUGAAAGGGAAGCGCUUAUGACCAGACUUGGGCCAGGUGAAUCAUCCGGCGUUCUCGCCGGUGCACUUUGCCUGCCCAGGCCAGCAUCAGUUCGCUUCGGGGGAUAAAGGCUUCGGGAAUGUGGCUCCUCCGGGAGUGUUAUAGACCGUUGCGUAAUACCCUGGGGCGGACUGAGGUACGCGUUCUG
rnacentral:rRNA from 1 species